CACAGCAUGGAUGAGACAGAUCGAGAGGUGUUCCUGAGACCUGGACCACAGAGCCAGAUUUUUGGAGUGCUCCAAGACCUUGGCAGUGUGCUAGGACCUUGAAGGGGAGCAGAGGGCUAGAGAUCAAGCCACCAGCUAACAUCCAGGGAUCUGGAGCAAUGAGAGCAGUUAUCUAGCUCAGCCAGUUUGUACCCUGCAAAGGCAGGUGGGGCCCAGUCACUGAACCCCUGCAGAACAACUGAGACCAGGGCAGUUCUGAGACAGAUUUCACACGCCUUUGGAA
rnacentral:lncRNA from 1 species